rnacentral:lncRNA from 1 species
AAUCCCAGCACUUUGGGAGGCCGAGGCGGGUGGAUCACGAGGUCAGGAGAUCGAGACCAUCCUGGCUAACACGGUGAAACCCUGUCUCUACUAAAAAUACAAAAAAUUAGCCGAGCGUGGUGGUGGGCGCCCAUAAUCCCACCUACUCGGGAGGCUGAGGGAGGAGAAUCACUUGAACCCGGGAGGCAGAUGUUGCAGUGAGCCAAGGUCGUGCCGUCGCACUCCAGACUGGGGGAGAAGAGCAAGA